rnacentral:rRNA from 1 species
GUCUUUUUGAUUAUAAUUUAAAGUCUAGUCUGCCCAAUGAAUUAUUCAAUGGCCGCAGUAUUUUAACUGUGCGAAGGUAGCAUAAUAAUUAGUUUUUUAAUUGAGAACUGGUAUGAAUGGCUGGACGAGAAAAUAGCUGUCUCAAUUUAAUUUAAAUUAGAAUUUUAUUUUUAAGUUAAAAAGCUUAAAUUUUUUUAAAAGACGAGAAGACCCUAUAGAGUUUUAUAUUAAAAUUAUAUUAAAUUUAUAAAGUAUUAUUCUUAUUUUAUUUAAUUUUAUUAUUUUAUUGGGGUGAUAUAAAAAUUUGAUAAACUUUUUAUUUUUUAAGGCAUUGAUAUAUGUUUAAUUGAUCCAUUUUUUAUGAUUAAAAGAUUAAAUUACCUUAGGGAUAACAGCGUAAUUUUUUUUUAGAGUUCUUAUCGAAAAAAAAGUUUGCGACCUCGAUGUUGGAUUAAAA